AUUGAACGCUGGCGGCAUGCCUUACACAUGCAAGUCGAACGGCAGCACGGGAGCAAUCCUGGUGGCGAGUGGCGAACGGGUGAGUAAUAUAUCGGAACGUGCCCAGUCGUGGGGGAUAACGCAGCGAAAGCUGUGCUAAUACCGCAUACGAUCUACGGAUGAAAGCGGGGGAUCGCAAGACCUCGCGCGAUUGGAGCGGCCGAUAUCAGAUUAGCUAGUUGGUGGGGUAAAGGCCCACCAAGGCGACGAUCUGUAGCUGGUCUGAGAGGACGACCAGCCACACUGGAACUGGGACACGGUCCAGACUCCUACGGGAGGCAGACGUGGGGAAUUUUGGACAAUGGGCGCAAGCCUGAUCCAGCAAUGCCGCGUGCAGGAUGAAGGCCUUCGGGUUGUAAACUGCUUUUGUACGGAACGAAACGGCCCUUUCUAAUACAGGGGGCUAAUGACGGUACCGUAAGAAUAAGCACCGGCUAACUACGUGCCAGCCGCCGCCGUAAAAC
rnacentral:rRNA from 1 species